CUGUUGCUCUCCUGCCAGUGUGAUUAGCAAUGGAGGUUUUAGGUGCUCAUAUUUACAAAAGGAAGUCUCUAUAUUCUGUGUAGAAGAAACUCAAAAAGUUCUCUAAAUGAGUCUUUGACCCAGGCAGUCACCGCUCUCAAGGAACAAGUGUCCAUGAAGAAGCAGCCUGAGCUGUUAGGCAUCUGCCUUUGCUCAAGACAUCCUCUGCCUACCCUGGCAGUUACCCUGGAUGGUUUUGCUGUCGUGAUUAAAACACAGAUGGAGCUCAUCCCUUCCCUGGGUGUUUGAUUGGCAGACUCUCUGUGAUCAGCACUCUUCUCUGGUGAACACAUCAGCGCCAUCUGCCUUCUGUCUGCCUGGAGAGACUUGCCACAGUAGAGCUUCCUCAGCCUCACAUGAACCGCUGCAAAGGAUGUGCGCUCCUUUUGCUGAAGCCGUCAAAUAAAAAAGCUUUUUCAUGAAAAGCUAAAUAGAAUACAUGAAGAUUUUCACGACAGUAGGCUUCCGGAUUAAUGAAAUAUUCAUUUAAAUUGGACUUGGAGGAUAUGUCACUUCUUUUCUUUGAUUAAAAUAUUUAGAGCAUAACACAAAAUCACUGUGUCUUGAAAAAGCCAAACUUCAAGGAAAUUCAGCUGAUGGGGCAUCUUGUUUUCAGUGAGGUUGUUAAAGAUGAUUUUUCCAACCAGGGUCAGGUGCUUGGAACCGUUAGGUGAAUGCUAGGCAUGGUGGGAGUCCUCUUGUGUGCUUAAGAGUUUAAGAGAUCGAACCCAAUAGAUAGUAAGCUUCUUUCAAAGAGAAUGCUAAUUUUAAUGUUUUUAUGACUUAAAUAGAUUGUAAUAAGUUAUUACUUCCUAAUUUAGAUGUUGGUAUGACGACUGGGCAGACGCAUGUUCUUGUUCCACAUCAACAUUGUAUGACUGCAGAGUGUAGCCUGAGUGCUUAGGAAAGGGUACUUUUACGAUAUUGGAAGACUGGACAUCGUGACAUUAGGAGGAGGGAGGGGGUUACUGGGCUGUUCUAAAAUUAGCAAUGUGAAGAGCUGGUUCAAACUUAAUUGCCUAGGUGUGGAAGAAAUAUACUUGUAUUGUGCUUAAUAAUGUGAAUUAUCUGUAUCAUUAAAUAACAGGAAACCCGUUUGAGUUUCUUCUUCCUGUCCAAAUAAAUAAAUAAAUAAAUAAAUAAAUAUAAUUAACACAGUGAAAAA
rnacentral:lncRNA from 1 species